GACGAACGCUGGCGGCGUGCCUAAUACAUGCAAGUUGAGCGCUGAAGGUUGGUACUUGUACCAACUGGAUGAGCAGCGAACGGGUGAGUAACGCGUGGGGAAUCUGCCUUUGAGCGGGGGACAACAUUUGGAAACGAAUGCUAAUACCGCAUAAAAACUUUAAACACAAGUUUUAAGUUUGAAAGAUGCAAUUGCAUCACUCAAAGAUGAUCCCGCGUUGUAUUAGCUAGUUGGUGAGGUAAAGGCUCACCAAGGCGAUGAUACAUAGCCGACCUGAGGGGGUGAUCGGCCACAUUGGGACUGAGACACGGCCCAAACUCCUACGGGAGGCAGCAGUAGGGAAUCUUCGGCAAUGGACGAAAGUCUGACCGAGCAACGCCGCGUGAGUGAAGAAGGUUGUCGGAUCGUAAAACUCUGUUGGUAGAGAAGAACGUUGGUGAGAGUGGAAAGCUCAUCAAGUGACGGUAACUACACAGAAAGGGACGGCUAACUACGUG
rnacentral:rRNA from 1 species